AAUAGAGACGGGAUCUCUCUAUAUUGCCCAGGCUGGUCUUGAACUCCUGGCCUCAAGCAAUCCUCCCACCCCGACCUCCCAGAGCACUGGGAUUACAGGUGAGAGCCACUGCACCUGGCCCUUUUUUAAAAAAUUAAUAUUGUUAUUGACGUAUAACAUGCAUGCACAAAAGUGAAUGAAUCAUAAGUGUUCGGCACAAAGCGUACAUAUCCUGUCACCAGUGCCCAGAUCAGGAAAAGAAACAGAACACUACCAAACCAAACCCCGCAGAAAAUACUUUGCAUUUUUUUCUAGUUACAAACCACCCUUCCAAGGGUAACCACUAUUUUGAAUGCUACAAUCACAGAUUGGUUUCACCUGCUCUUCAACUUCAUAUAAAUGAAAUCACACAGUAUGUUCUCUUUUGGAGUCUGGUUUCUUUCACUCAUCAUUUUGCUUGUGGCAUUCAUCCAUGUUCUGUGCCAUUGUAGUUUUCCAUUCUCAUGACUGUGUAGUAUUCCAUAUUAAUAGACCACAGUUUAUUAUUUGUAUACCAUUGAUGGAUAUUUGGGCUGUGUGCAGAUUUUGGCUAUUACAAACAGUGCUACUGUAAAUAUGAAUGUCUUGGUGAAUGGAUAUAUACACAUAUACAUACCUGAAUGUAUGUAUACAUACAUAUACAUACCUGAAUGUAUGUAUACAUACAUAUACAUACCUGAAUGUAUGUAUACAUACAUAUACAUACCUGAAUGUAUGUAUACAUACAUAUACAUACCUGAAUGUAUGUAUACAUACAUAUACAUACUUGUGUAUAUACAUAUAUAUUUCUGCUGGGUAUAAACUUAGAAGUGGAGUUGCUGGAUCAUAGUUUUAAUAGUAGUGCCAAAGCAGUCGUACCAGUUAUACUCACACUAGCAAAGUAGGCAAGUUCUGGUUGCUCCAAAUUUUUGCUAAUAUUUGAUAUUAUCUUCCUUUUUCAUUGUACUUAUUCUGGUGGGUAUGUAGUAAUAUUGUACUGUAGUCUGAAUGUGCGUUUUGAGGAUAGUGGCCAUUUGUGUAUCCUCUUUGCAAAAUGCCUCUUCAGAUCAUUUGCUUAUUUUUCUAUUGGGUUGCCUGUCUUAAUGGUUUGUAGGAAGCACUUUAUAUAUUGUUGGAUAUACGUAUUAUGAAGAUUUUCACUCCUCGGUAGCUUUGGGUAUCCAUUUCCUUAGUGAUAUUCCUAAGUUUAACCCAUGUGAAAAUAUUAGAAUUGUAUAUAGUGCUUUGCACAGGAAUAUAUUAUUCUUUGUUAGCUAUGUUGAAGUUGGGGCUACAUGCUAUCACUACUCAUCUACAAAGGUACUCUUGGGAUACUGGUUAUGCAGGCUGGAGCAGGGACUCUUGAAGUUUCUGGCAUAUUAAGUGCUGGCAUCUUUGGGGUUAUAUAAAAAUAAAAACUGCUAAUAUCCAAGUGUUUACUGUGUGCCAUAUAGUGUUCUAAGCACUUCACAUGGCCUAGCUCAUUUAUUCCUCAUAUAAGCUUAUCAGUUAAGUGCUAUUAUUAUUCCCAUUUUCGAGUGAGGAAACUGAGACUCAGAGAAAUCUUAUAAUUGCCCAGGGUCACACAACUGAGAUUCCAGUUGCAGAGGCCAUACUCUUAACCAUUGUACCACAUAGAAAGUUGCAUUUCCCUAAACUGCUGUUUUAUUAUAGUGCUGGAUUAGUGGCUGGCACAUAGUAAUUGCACAUGGUAAAUACCUGUUACAUGAAAGAAUUUGACAGUGGUAAGUUAACAUAGGUCUUCAUUAAGUGGGAAAAUUUGCCCUGGCAAUGGGAUAUGUUGACAUUGGAAGCAGUUGUGUUUCAUCCUCAUGUAUCUCUUACCUGGAGCAGUGCCUGUCUUGGAAUAAGUGUCAUAGUGAACAUUUUGGAGUGAAUGAAUCAAUCACAGGCAGAUUGCGGACCCUGUCGUAGCAGAUGGAUGAGCUCAGAGGACACUACAGGAACCAGGGCCAAGGCAGGGCCAUGGUCGGGGCCAUGGUCAUGGCCCAGGGAGAAUUCACAGUUUGGCUAGCAGCAUCCUGGUUGUACAGCCACAAGGCAGCCCAGUUUGUAGUAGCAGAAUAGGGUCCAGUGUCAGCAGGCGAGGCUGUCCCAGUUACAGGCAGUCAGGUCAGAAGAGGUCCCAGCAGGAGUGCAGGGCUGGCAGGAUUCAAGGUCAGGUAAUCCAAAGUCACAAGGUUACAAGCAGUAAAAGUUCAGGCUGGCUGGCGAGAGAGCCAAGGAGCUCCUGGAGGGAGCUGUCGCCCGGGCUGGGCUCCCCUCCUGAAUGAGGCCUUUCUUCUCAGGCUGCUCAGAGUGCCUGAGAGGAAUACACCAGACCUCAGGGCAGGCUGGGGAGGGUGAACCGGAGACUUAUCCUGGUACGGAGCCAGAAGGAGCCUUCAUGAAUGUCUUGUCAAACUCUUCAUUUGGUGAGUGAGGAAAUCAAAGUUUAAAUGAGAGGUUAUUGAGCAAGUGGUAGAGCCAACGCUGGAAUCAGGCCCUGUAGAGUUUUUCCCACUUCCUCGUCUUUUCUAUCAAAAAUGAAGAGGUGAUGGGAAUUGUGGUUCUCGGAAGGAGGAAGCACUGAGGUGCAAGCCUUAGAGAGGAAUGAUGGAGAGCACUUGGAUAUGGGGCAAAAGGAGGAAUUCCAGGAGGACUGCACAGGCCUGGAGACUGGCGGUACAGGUGAUGGGAAUUUGAAGGAAACUGCUUGGAUGAUGACUGAGAUACUGACUCUAGAAUAUAAAUUCCAUGAUGACAAAAUCUUUUUCAUUUUAAUUGAAGCAUAACAUACAGAAAAGUGCAUAGAAGGCAAGGACUUAACAUUUUUUUAUUGUGCUAAAAAAACACAUAGCAUAAAAUUCAUCAUCUUACCCAUUUGUAAUUGUACAAUUCAGUUGUAUUAAGUUCCUUCGUGGUGUUGUGCAACCCUCACCACCAUCUGUCUCCAGGACUCUAUUCAUCUUACGUAACUGAACUCUGUGCCCAUUCAACUGCCUUUUCUUCUCCCCACAGCCCCUGGCAACCACCAUUCUAUUUUCUGUCUUUAUGAAUUUGGCUACUCUUAAAACUGCAUGUAAGUGGAAUUAUAUAGUAUUUGUCUUUUUGGGACUGGUUUAUUCCACUUAGCAUAAUGUCCUCAAGGUUCAUCUGUGUUGUAGCAUGUGUCAGAAUUUCCUCCCUCUCAAGGAUGAAUAGUAUUCCACUGUAUUUUGUUCAUCGCUUCAUCCAUUGAUGAACCCUUGGGGUGAGGACUUUUACAUGGCUUGCUCACCAGUGACUAGAACAGAUCCUGGCUUUAAAAGUAACUCAACAGGUAAUAGUUGAAUGAAUUUUAGUUAUGUUGAACGGGAGGUGAUAGUGGGACACCCAAGUGGGCUGUCCAACAGGUAUUCCUGGAUGUCUCAGGACUAAAGGUUGGAAUCGCCUUCAUGGGUAGGGGGUAAAGACAGUGGUGUGAAGGUGCUCCCAGGGACGGGGUUGAACAAUAGGAGCAGGGGCCUGGGGCUAGCACAGGUGGGACCAGAGUCAUGACAGAUGCAGGAAAGGUGGUCUCAGGACAGUGGUACAGGCCAGAACACGAGAUCAGGGGAAAUGUACCCAGUACAGCCAGAGCCAUUAAGUGCUAGGCAGUAGGCAAGGCACUAGGACUAGCAACACGUGUGAGGCAGACGUAAAGAUUCAUCAGCACAAAUCAUUCUAAGGCCUCGUGGAAGUGGAAGUCUUGAACUUGAGUGUGGACUUGAAAUACAGUUGGACUCUGCACUAUGAAGAGGAGAGAGAAGGACACCACAAGUGAGAAAGCGUUGAGAAAAGGAGCUUGGUGGAAAGAAUGGGAGGGUACAGGGCACAAAAGGAGACCAGAAUGAUGAGGCAAGCUUAUUGCCCUGUAUGUAUGGUAGAAUAUUGUAACAUGGACAGUGGUAGUUGUAAAGACCUGGUUGCAUGUGACAGAUGCACUUGCUCAAAUAUGAGUGUGGCGAUUUCUCAGUCACAUGCUGAAAAAUCAAGAGCCUCUAGUCAAUUUAACCAGUAUUCACUGGGCUGCAGCUGAGAGCCCUGCUUAACACUAGAUGCUGGGAUAGAAAGACAAAAAGGUGAGAUUAAGAAGUAAGAGUUAAGCCUGGGCUGUACCUAGACUUACCUGAGUUUUAGAGACCUUCCUUUCCACAGAUAUUGGGCUGAAAACUGAGAAAGUGGAUGCCUCGUCUGCUCCCAUCUUACUCUCUGCAGCUUCCUACACAACUGCUGGGCUCCCAAUGCUCUGCUCUGGGGCCAGGCAAAAGUCUGUACUCUCAUGCAUACGCACUUCUGAAAAAGCGGCUUGGUAACUUCUUAGGUACACCCACAAGGUUGGCCCCAGAUCUCAAGGAAAUCCUCAGAAAUGGUUUUGAAAGAUAAUAUCCAGCUAACUCCCCCAAAUUCAGGAUCCCUAGAAGCUAUUUAUCUUCUAGGGAUUGCCUAGAGUAUUCCUACAGGAUGUAAAUGAAGGAUGCAAGCACGUGGAGCAUGAGUAUUCUAUACAGGGAACCAGUCGGAUGCCACCCACCAGUGCCAGAACGAAGGCAGAGAGCAUGGGGUUGGAGAGGCCAGAGACCCUACGUGCUUCUGAAUAAUGGGGUGUCCCUGCCAGAGCUAGGAAGCGUGAGGUGUCACCCUACCAGCCUACAGCUCUGAGUGCUAAAAGGGAAUCCGGGACCCUGAAGGAAGCUUUGAGUCUCUGGGCUUGUGCCUGUCAGAUCUCUGACACCACUAUUUACCUAUGUUCCACAAUAGGUUACCUUAGCAUUCAGCUUAGUCUGGUCUUAGCAUCUAAGAGACAAGGUUUCAGGGAGCCUUAUGUAUAAGCAAUAAUGUAGUGAUGAUGCUAACUUUAUUAAGUGUUUAGUGUGUCCUAGGUGCUGUUCUGUUUUCUAUGUAUUCACUCAUUUAAACCUCACAGUAACUCUGAGAUAACUGUUAUAUUUGACAGAUGAGGAAACUGAGUCACAGAGAGCUAUAAUAUCUUUCCUGAGAUCACUCAGCUAGUAAUAAGCAGAGACAGAAAUUGCACCGGUCCUGCUCCAGAGUCUGCAUUCUUAGGGAAACAGCUCCAGUGGGAUGUGUAGGAGCCACCAGAGGCCAGAGCAGAGAGGUCAGCUGCUGACCAAUCACACUCCUAGAUCCAGUUUCUCCCUGUCAGAGCCAGCUGCCCCUGCUGCUUCAGAGAGGGGGCUGUGGCCCUGUUGUUUUACCUAGGUUUGCCAGGAGGAUUAUUAGCCUCUUCCUCGUGUCAAAACAAGCCAAGCAGGAAAAAAAACCAACAAGCAACUCAUGACUUGCAGCAGAAAAAACCCUGCGGUCUCUCCAGCAGGAGGGGAGACCUCAGCUGCAGGGGCCCGAAGGUCCCAGGUUACAACCUGGUCUUAGGCAUAUAUUGCUGAGAAGGGCCUUGAGGUCCCCUCGUUUCAGUCAGGAUGCUGAGGCCUGGCUCACCAUAAUGCCCAGUCUCCACAGCAGCCUGCCUUCUCUGCUCUCCUGCUACACCCCGGGAAAUUUAAUAGUGUCUCCCAGUCUGCUCAUGGGAAGCCCGGAGGCCUACAGUCUUUCCCCUAGUUCUGCUGUGAGCUAGCUCUGGGACCCUGGGCUACUCCAGUUUCCCAUAUGUAGGAGAACAAGCUUGAAUUUGAGCAGUAGUUUCCAAAUAAAUAAAUAAAUAAAUAAAUAUAUAUAUAUAUAUAUAUAUAUUUUUUUUUUUUUAUUGCAGUGGAACACUUUCUUCAAGCAAGGUAUUAAGGAUAGGUACAGAAUGUGGAACAGUUAAAAGCAGAAGUGUAUAUUUUCCAAAAAAUGGAAAAAGGGGAAACAACCUUAGGGCAGUCAGACUUCUCUAUGAAUUCCUCCCAGAGCCUGCAGGGUUCUGCUGCAUAUGCACUCCUGCCCCUUGGGUUGCCUUUGCUCCUUCAUUCUCAUGGAAGGCUUUACAUUCUUCAGAGCCUCCCUCAGCUUCCAUCUCCUUCGUGGAGCAUCUGCCUGCAGUGACUUCUGCCCCUUUCUGUUCCUGUUAUACAUAUUUAUUAGCUAUUUCAAUCAUUGGGCUCCCCUAUACUGCCUAGUGAUGGGCUUAAAAAAUUUAUAACACAUAUAAUAUUUACAUAUAUUGUGUAUAAAUUAGCAUAUACUUAUAUAUUUACAUAUAUGUGUAUGUAUGUAUAUGUAUGUAUACGCCACACAUGCAUACACACACAUCCUUUAAAGAGAGACCAUGUCUGUAUGUCCCCCAUUUCCUGGUACAUAAUAAAUCCCUAAUAAAGAUUUUUUUAAAAAAAUUUUUAUUUGCUCACAUGCUCUUGCUCAGACAAUACAAGUUUUUAAUCAUGGGGAUUAUCUUCCUUGUCCUCCCACAUAUUUUGCCAGGUCAGUACUCAGUAAA
rnacentral:lncRNA from 1 species